GGUCUCGAUUUCCUGGGGGGUGGGCUCAGUCUGUUCCACCUCCCCUCAGACUAGCCUAGAUCAAAGGCAGGGUUCUCUGCAUACUAGUAUGGUGGGUCAAGAAAUCAGCGCCAACAUGGGCUAUCCCUGCCAUACUUUU
rnacentral:snoRNA from 10 species